rnacentral:rRNA from 1 species
UACGGAGGGUGCAAGCGUUGUCCGGAACCACUGGGCGUAAAGGGCGCGUAGGCGGCUCCUGACGGCUGUGGUGAAAGUCCGGGGCUCAACCUCGGAUCGGCCGUGGCGACUCGUGGGCUGGAGCACUGUAGAGGCGGGUGGAAUUCCGGGUGUAGCGGUGGAAUGCGUAGAGAUCCGGAAGAACACCAGUGGCGAAGGCGGCCCGCUGGGCAGUGGCUGACGCUGAGGCGCGAAAGCGUGGGGAGCAAACAGG